GAUUGCUUAGAAUAUUUAUGACAAAUGAAUUAAUGUUAGUUUUCAAAGUUAUAAAAAUUGUGAUACUUUUGUAAUCAUGUGUAUCAUUAGAUGUUAUUUCUAAUUUAUAUAUUUGGCAAGCUUAUAAUGAUGUGUGGCAUAUAUGUAUAGUAAAUAUGAAGGAGAUAAGACCCUAUCUUUGAAAAUAAUUUUGGUAGUAACUAAAAGAGGGUUUUGAAGAAAGUAAAUGGGCACAUGGGCGUGUGAUUAUAAGCCUUUGACAAAGUCUUUUAUUUUAUUUUACUUUUCUCUCCAAUUAGUUAGAUUGAUCUUGCUUGGGUGGGACGUUUGCUUACAUGAAGGAGCAACUUUAUAGCUUUGGCCCACUUGACCGAGUAGUGUAUUACACGUGGGAGUCUAAGAGAGUUCUCCUCUCAACAAACUAUUUGAAGACUAUGUAUAUCAAUUUACUUGACCGAGUAGCAAGGAAGUUUUAAGGAGUAUGAAGUUUGAAAUUAGUUUUAAGUUGUUGAGUUAAUUGUGGUAGCGGACCAUUCUCAUGACAUGGGUGUAGUGGACUGUGAUCUUAGAGCCUAUAAAUAUAUCUUUAUUUCUCACUCACAAAGACCAAGCUCUCAAGUUACCCUCAUAAUCUCUCGUCCCAAGGUUUCUUUAAUACUGAAGAUAUCAUUCUCAUUUUCUUAGUCACUAUCAUUCUCAAGUUACCCUCAUAAUCUCUCGUCCCAAGGUUUCUUUAAUACUGAAGCUAUCAUUCUCAUUUUCUUAGUCACUAUCAUCCACACCACAAAUAUAUUACCAUAUUGUCUCCAUCUCACUUGUUGAUACAUAGUUUGCCUUUAUAUUUCUUAAGUCUUAACCACAUAUUUCCUCAAGUUUUAUUCAUUCAUUUCUCCAAGCCAUUACCAUACUACCAUCGCCUCUCUUAUACAUAUCUACACAUAUAUAUAGGGUUCAUCACAUCCUUCAUUAUUUCGACGUCACUAUCUCCAUCAAGUUCUAGUGCUCUACUAGAUUUAUUAGGAACUAAGGUCUUUGCGUAAGACAAUUAUUUUUCAAGGAUCACUCUCAUUGCAAUCAAAGCUAGUACUCCACAUUCGAGACCAAGGUAACUGAAAGUUUAGAAAGCCGGUGGCGAGUGGAACUUUGGAUGCUUGUGUGUGUGAACUCGCUGAGGGCCAUAUAACUGCGGGCGGUCUAGGGCGCUCUAUUUAUUUAUUUACGUUAUUAAACUUAUGUCGCAAUUAUUUUAGUUAUUAAUUAUUAUGUCUUUGGUAAGAAAACUGGCCAGUUGUGAACAUUUUCAAGUAUUAAAUAAAAAUGCGACAUUAUGAUUUUCCGCGUUUAACGCUUGUAAACAAAAUUAAUAUUUUUAUAAAAGUACGGGCGUUACAGUUUGGUAUCAGAGCCACAGUUAUAUCGGUCCCGAACGUUCUCACGAGUUACACACAUCAGCCAAAAAGUUUCCGCUUGCCACCAAGUAAGUCCAUUAUAUAUGCUUGCAUUUUAUGUGUAUUUUUUUUUUUU